CACCGCGGUUACACGGGCAGCCCAAGUUGAUGGACUACGGCGUAAAGGGUGGUUAGGGAAAUACCUAGACUAAAGCUGAAAGUCCCCAAGACCGUCGUACGCCAUCUCGGAGGAAAGAAAACCAACUACGAAAGUGGCUUUAUUUUACCUGACCCCACGAAAGCUAAGGCA
rnacentral:rRNA from 1 species